rnacentral:lncRNA from 1 species
AUGUGCACCUAAUUACUUUGUUACCCGAGUGGCUGGCAAGUUCUGCCGCUCUCUGUAGGAACGGUGACAUGUUCUGAAGGACUAAUUAAUGGCUCUUGUAUUUUGGGAUCACCUAUUGUGUGAGGGUGUCCUUCUGCAGGCCAGCCGUGCGUGCUGAGACCUGUGCCAGCUGCUCGUUGGAAGGGGUGGACUUUUACCUCCUAGAGUGGACAAAUCUGACUGAAUUACUUUAACAGUGCUUUAGUAUUUAUGGUACAAAAGUGGUCUUGAAUAUUAACAGCACAAUACACCUCUAAAUGCAGUGCAUCAGGGGAAGCCAGGCACUUCUCCCUGAUGGCCCUGUCUCUUUGAGGUGUGUUGCAGAGCCGCGGCGAGGUCUGGGCCAAGCAUCCCAGAGCCUUCCCCAAAGCGCUCAGGGGCUGGGGCAGUGCCCCCGGAGCACCAGAGAGGCCAGACCCCAAAUCCCUGCUUGUGGAAACCUCGCAUUUCACCUGCCGUGUGCCAGGCUGGGGCAGUGAUCCCGCCUGCAUCCAGGGCUGCCGAUGGGGCUGGCGAGAGCAACAGGCAUGAGUGGAGACCCCACCAACACAGCCCAGACCGCUCCUUCCCCUCAGAAAGCUGGAAGUGCCUUCUCCUGACAUUUAGAAAGGAUAAAUGCUUGAUUUAAACUAAUCCACUUUAGCUAGACCUAGUCUGUAGGAGAUUGUUUUGACAAAACAGCGCGGCACCCACCGAAAGCCCGGUAAAGUGGUCAGGAGAGUGCCUGGCUCCAGCGCCCAGCCUGCCUCACCGGGUGCUCGCUGUGCCCCUGGGCCUUGCAGCACAUCCCCUGAGCUCAGGGGAGCAGUUCCCAGCCCGGCAGCCUGCAGAGCCUCUGCCAGGCAAACCCUGCCACGGGCAGGGGCUGGGGAGCAGGGGGAGAGCGGCUGCAGGGGGUGCUCAGGGGGCCUCGAAGCCUGAGCCACUCGCAGAGGGCAGGCAUCCGUUUUUGGGUUAUCCCCAGAGCAAGCAGUUGUAGGUGCCUCUGUAAAACAGCUCUCCCCGUGCUGCCAGUCUUCUUGCUGCUUCUGCCAAAUUCCAGUCUGGGGGAAACGUGGCUGGUGGUGCUGGAAGAAGACAACCGUGGCCAGGUCUGAGGCCCUCUUGUCUCCCUGGUCUUUUUCAGAAGAACUGGUUGCCAUCAGAUGCCCUUGUUUUUACACCUGUUAUCCUUUGAACCCACUUGAGUACCCUUUGAAUAACCAAGGCAUAGCACGGGUACCACAAGGGGCAACCCAGAGCAUCCAGAAUCCCACGAGAGCAGCCCCCUCCAGGCUGGUUAUUGUGGUACACUUCAUGUGGACAGAAAGUUAAACUGCUUCUCUGCUGCCUGCUACAGAUACAAAGGCAAAGCCAGGGAUGGUGUGAGAUGGAUAGAGGGGUGGGAACAUGGGAAACCCACGAGAAACCCAAGCAGAAGCCAUCCGUGCUGCACGGGUGAAGGCAGCCCUGUGGGUCCUGCCUGGCAGAGCCAGGAGC